GGCUUCGCAACUCAGCUGAUAGAGCACUCGCGAUACUAAAGCUAGGAUGGUGGCCAUGCGUGGGUUCGAAUCCCGCCGAGGCCA
rnacentral:tRNA from 1 species